CCUACGGGGGGCAGCAGUGAGGAAUAUUGGUCAAUGGCCGAGAGGCUGAACCAGCCAAGUCGCGUGAGGGAUGACGGCCCUACGGGUUGUAAACCUCUUUUGUCGGGGAGCAAGACCCGCCUCGUGCAGGCGGAGCGAGAGUACCCGAAGAAAAAGCAUCGGCUAACUCCGUGCCAGCAGCCGCGGUAAUACGGAGGAUGCGAGCGUUAUCCGGAUUUACUGGGUGUAAAGGGAGCGUAGACGGCAGCGCAAGUCUGGAGUGAAAUGCCGGGG
rnacentral:rRNA from 1 species